rnacentral:rRNA from 1 species
UCGUGAAGAGGGAAACAACCCAGACCGCCAGCUAAGGUCCCAAAGUCAUGGUUAAGUGGGAAACGAUGUGGGAAGGCACAGACAGCCAGGAUGUUGGCUUAGAAGCAGCCAUCAUUUAAAGAAAGCGUAAUAGCUCACUGGUCGAGUCGGCCUGCCGAUGCGUUGAGCUAACCGAUACUAAUGAACCGUGAGGCUUAACCUUACAACGCCGAAGGUGUUUUGGCGAAGAGACGAAAUUUUCAGCUUAGAUUCAGAGU